GUUAGCAUUCGGUUUUUCAGGAGUACGUUGAUGAAGUUUGCGCCUGAAUGGGAAGAAUAAUUUCUCACAUCCAAUGUGUGAUGGCUGCUAUAGUUAUGAGACAAGUUCUUAAACAUGCCGUAAAAGAAGGGAAUGCAUCAACGACCUUUUAGCAUGAAUAGUUGGUCUCCCUGAGGAUUAGGAUUGAUCAUAGUAGAGAAGAUAUGAGAAGUUUGAUGUUCCAAUGGCCUACACUUAGAGCAACAAUGAUUGAUGUUGCAAUAGCUUGGUCUGCAAGUUUUUACCGCUACCAUUUGUUCUUGACUUCUUUCAUGGGUUUUGGUUAGUAUAUGCAGGUAACAAUUACUUUUCUUUUUGUUGAGCUCAAAAUAUAUACCACUCAUCAUAAAUACUGAUUUAUGUUUUUUUUCUUCCAUGUUCGGUGUUGAGGGAUUUGUUCUUUGGUUGGUUUACAAGAGGGAACUUUACUAUGAAAAAGGUAAGAAAUAUGGGCAAUCACCGACUCUUGAUAUCUAUCAAAUUCGUUUUCCUUAUCAUUCAUUGUGGUUUUGUUUUCUUUUCUUGUGUUGUAUUGAGGGCACUAAAUCUUUUAAAGGUAAGAAAUCGAGUUUAGAUUUGACAAUACUUGUCUAUUUUUUAUUUCUAUUAGAAUUCAAUCAUCACUCUGAUUUUGGUUCUACUUUCUUUGUUCGUCAAGGAAAACAUGAAUGCAGAUGUAUGGAUCUUGAACUUAGCUAACAAAUGUGUAUUUUCUAACAGGGAAGAAGCUUGGGAAAAAAAAGAACAAGAGAAGAUCAUGAUCAGCUAAAAUUGAGUAAUAUUGAUUUUUUUUAAUGAAUUAUGUUACUAUUUUGCAUCGUCUCUCCAUUUGAAUCUUUUUCAGGAUUGUGAAGUAGAGCAUGAACACGAGUAUUGGAAAUAUGUAGAGGAAGGAUAAACCUGAGAGAGACACUACUUUGCCAACCGAGAUAUGCCAGAAACUUGAAGACGAUUUGAGCUAGUGAUAUCAAUUAGAGGACCAGAUGGUCCAGAUUCAUCCAAUCAUUGAUAAAGAGCCCGUACCAACCUGAUAAACGAAGAUACAUCAAAACACGAAGAGUACCUGAUCAGCCUCUUCCACAUCUAGUUUAAACUGCAUACAUGCAUACAUGCAUACAUGCAUACAUUCAUAUAUGCAUACACAUGCAUAUAUCAUACAUUCAUGCAUAUAUUUGCUUUCUUGAUUUUUUUAUUAGAUCAUUGCUUGCUUCUUUAGUACAUUUGUUAACAACUUGUUCUUGUUUGUUUCUUGUGCUUAUCUCAGUUCGUAACGUGCUUGCUUGUUUCUUGCACUGAUUGCUUACAUGUUUAGCUUGUUCAAUUAAUUCCUUCUUUGUUUCAUUGAUUAUUUGAUCGUUGCUUGACUUGUUUGUUUGUUUCUUCUUGGUUCCUUGAUUUACUUUACUUCAUUGGGCAGCCUUCUUCUUGGAUACUCGCUUACUUAAUUGUUUCAAUCAUUUUCUUUACACAUUCGUUUGCUUGUUUCCUUCCUUGAUCCUUUGGUUUUUCUUUUUCUUUUUUACUUUCGUCACUAUUUCUUACUUGAACUUCUCUACUUGUUUCGUUGUUUGCUUACGAUUUUCAUUUGGUUUCUCGCUUUCUUUUGCUUUCUUUACUUCUUCCAUAGUUCCAUUGCUUGCUUAGACGUAAUUGUUUAAGAAAACAUCUCCCCAACAUCCUCCUUGUUCUUGCAAAUUCCAUUACUUAAUUCCGUUUAUGCGUAUCUCUUAAAAUAUCUACAACUCUAUAGCGAAAUUUUAUAAUCCA
rnacentral:misc_RNA from 1 species